GGGUUGUGAGGUUAAGCGACUAAGCGUACACGGUGGAUGCCUAGGCAAUCAGAGGCGAUGAAGGACGUGCUAAUCUGCGAAAAGCGUCGGUAAGGUGAUAUGAACCGUUAUAACCGACGAUGUCCGAAUGGGGAAACCCAGUGCAAUUCGUUGCACUAUCGUUUGAUGAAUCCAUAGUCAAACGAGGCGAACCGGGGGAACUGAAACAUCUCAGUACCCCGAGGAAAAGAAAUCAACCGAGAUUCCCCUAGUAGCGGCGAGCGAACGGGGAGCAGCCCAGAGUCUUAAUCAGUAUCAGCAUCAGGAGAACGGUCUGGAAAGGCCGGCAAUAAAGGGUGAUAGCCCCGUAUCCGAAGGUGUUGGUGUUGUGAACUCGACGAGUAGGGCGGGACACGUGUUAUCCUGUCUGAAUAUGGGGGGACCAUCCUCCAAGGCUAAAUACUCCUGAUUGACCGAUAGUGAACCAGUACCGUGAGGGAAAGGCGAAAAGAACCCCGGCGAGGGGAGUGAAAUAGAACCUGAAACCGUGUACGUACAAGCAGUGGGAGCCUUGAUUUAUCAGGGUGACUGCGUACCUUUUGUAUAAUGGGUCAGCGACUUAUAUUCUGUAGCAAGGUUAACCGAAUAGGGGAGCCGUAGGGAAACCGAGUCUUAACUGGGCGAAUAAGUUGCAGGGUAUAGACCCGAAACCCGGUGAUCUAGCCAUGGGCAGGUUGAAGGUUGGGUAACACUAACUGGAGGACCGAACCGACUAAUGUUGAAAAAUUAGCGGAUGACUUGUGGCUGGGGGUGAAAGGCCAAUCAAACCGGGAGAUAGCUGGUUCUCCCCGAAAGCUAUUUAGGUAGCGCCUCGUGAACUCAUCUUCGGGGGUAGAGCACUGUUUCGGCUAGGGGGUCAUCCCGACUUACCAACCCGAUGCAAACUACGAAUACCGAAGAAUGUUAUCACGGGAGACACACGGCGGGUGCUAACGUUCGUCGUGAAGAGGGAAACAACCCAGACCGCCAGCUAAGGUCCCAAAGUCAUGGUUAAGUGGGAAACGAAGUGGGAAGGCUCAGACAGCCAGGAUGUUGGCUUAGAAGCAGCCAUCAUUUAAAGAAAGCGUAAUAGCUCACUGGUCGAGUCGGCCUGCGCGGAAGAUGUAACGGGGCUAAACCAUGCACCGAAGCUGCGGCAGCGACAUGUAAAUGUUGUUGGGUAGGGGAGCGUUCUGUAAGCCUGUGAAGGUGUGCUGCGAGGCAUGCUGGAGGUAUCAGAAGUGCGAAUGCUGACAUAAGUAACGAUAAUGCGGGUGAAAAACCCGCACGCCGGAAGACCAAGGGUUCCUGUCCAACGUUAAUCGGGGCAGGGUGAGUCGACCCCUAAGGCGAGGCAGAAAUGCGUAGUCGAUGGGAAACAGGUUAAUAUUCCUGUACUGGUGAUAAUUGCGAUGGGGGGACGGAGAAGGCUAGGCUGGCCGGGCGACGGUUGUCCCGGUUUAAGGAUGUAGGUGGGCGAAUUAGGCAAAUCCGGUUCGCUAUACACUGAGGUCUGAUGACGAGUCACUACGGUGGCGAAGUAGCUCAUGCCCCGCUUCCAGGAAAAGCCUCUAAGCUCUAGAUUAUCAUUAAUCGUACCCCAAACCGACACAGGUGGUCAGGUAGAGAAUACUCAGGCGCUUGAGAGAACUCGGGUGAAGGAACUAGGCAAAAUGGUGCCGUAACUUCGGGAGAAGGCACGCUGGCACUAGGUGAAGUCCCUUGCGGAUGGAGCUGAAGCCAGUCGCAGAUACCAGCUGGCUGCAACUGUUUAUUAAAAACACAGCACUGUGCAAACACGAAAGUGGACGUAUACGGUGUGACGCCUGCCCGGUGCUGGAAGGUUAAUUGAUGGGGUUAUCCGUAAGGAGAAGCUCUUGAUCGAAGCCCCAGUAAACGGCGGCCGUAACUAUAACGGUCCUAAGGUAGCGAAAUUCCUUGUCGGGUAAGUUCCGACCUGCACGAAUGGCGUAAUGAUGGCCAGGCUGUCUCCACCCGAGACUCAGUGAAAUUGAACUCGCUGUGAAGAUGCAGUGUACCCGCGGCAAGACGGAAAGACCCCGUGAACCUUUACUAUAGCUUGACACUGAACAUUGAGCCUUGAUGUGUAGGAUAGGUGGGAGGCUUUGAAGUGUGGACGCCAGUCUGCAUGGAGCCAACCUUGAAAUACCACCCUUUAAUGUUUGAUGUUCUAACGUUGCCCCAUAAUCUGGGGUGCGGACAGUGUCUGGUGGGUAGUUUGACUGGGGCGGUCUCCUCCCAAAGCGUAACGGAGGAGCACGAAGGUUGGCUAAGCAUGGUCGGACAUCAUGCGGUUAGUGCAAAGGCAUAAGCCAGCUUGACUGCGAGAGUGACGGCUCGAGCAGGUACGAAAGUAGGUCUUAGUGAUCCGGUGGUUCUGAAUGGAAGGGCCAUCGCUCAACGGAUAAAAGGUACUCCGGGGAUAACAGGCUGAUACCGCCCAAGAGUUCAUAUCGACGGCGGUGUUUGGCACCUCGAUGUCGGCUCAUCACAUCCUGGGGCUGAAGUAGGUCCCAAGGGUAUGGCUGUUCGCCAUUUAAAGUGGUACGCGAGCUGGGUUUAGAACGUCGUGAGACAGUUCGGUCCCUAUCUGCCGUGGGCGUUGGAAGAUUGAAAGGGGCUGCUCCUAGUACGAGAGGACCGGAGUGGACGCACCGCUGGUGUUCGGGUUGUCAUGCCAAUGGCACUGCCCGGUAGCUAAGUGCGGAAGAGAUAACCGCUGAAAGCAUCUAAGCGGGAAACUUGCCUUGAGAUGAGUCUUCCCUGACUCUUUAAGGGUCCUAAAGGAACGUUUAAGACGAAGACGUUGAUAGGCUGGGUGUGUAAGCGUAGCGAUACGUUGAGCUAACCAGUACUAAUGAACCGUGAGGCUUAACCUGACAACACCGAAGGUGUUUUAG
rnacentral:rRNA from 1 species